rnacentral:rRNA from 1 species
GAUGAACGCUGGCGGCGUGCUUAACACAUGCAAGUCGAACGAAGCACUUUAUUUGAUUUCCUUCGGGACUGAUUAUUUUGUGACUGAGUGGCGGACGGGUGAGUAACGCGUGGGUAACCUGCCUUGUACAGGGGGAUAACAGUUGGAAACGGCUGCUAAUACCGCAUAAGCGUACGGCAUCGCAUGAUGCAGUGUGAAAAACUCCGGUGGUAUAAGAUGGACCCGCGUUGGAUUAGCUAGUUGGUGAGGUAACGGCCCACCAAGGCGACGAUCCAUAGCCGACCUGAGAGGGUGACCGGCCACAUUGGGACUGAGACACGGCCCAAACUCCUACGGGAGGCAGCAGUGGGGAAUAUUGCACAAUGGGCGAAAGCCUGAUGCAGCGACGCCGCGUGAGCGAAGAAGUAUUUCGGUAUGUAAAGCUCUAUCAGCAGGGAAGAUAAUGACGGUACCUGACUAAGAAGCACCGGCUAAAUACGU